rnacentral:rRNA from 1 species
AUUGAACGCUGGCGGCAGGCCUAACACAUGCAAGUCGAGCGAGCGGCGGACGGGUGAGUAAUGCCUGGGAAUUGCCAAGUCGAGGGGGAAAACAGUUGGACACGACUGCUAAUACCGCAUACGAUUGGAACGCCCAGGGGGGAUUAGCUAGUUGGUGAGGUAAGGGCUCACAAAGGCGACGAUCCCUAGCUGGUCAGAGAGGAUGAUCAGCCACACUGGAACUGAGACACGGUCCAGAAUCCUACGGGAGGCAGCAGUGGGGAAUAUUGCACAAUGGGGGAAACCCUGAUGCAGCCAUGCCGCGUGUGUGAAGAAGGCCUUCGGGUUGUAAAGCACUUUCAGCGAGGAGGCGUUACUCGCAGAAGAAGCACCGGCUAACUCCGUGCCAGCCGCCGCGGUAAUUC